rnacentral:rRNA from 1 species
AUUGAACGCUGGCGGCAUGCCUUACACAUGCAAGUCGAACGGUAACAGGUCUUCGGAUGCUGACGAGUGGCGAACGGGUGAGUAAUACAUCGGAACGUGCCUAGUAGUGGGGGAUAACUACUCGAAAGAGUGGCUAAUACCGCAUGAGAUCUACGGAUGAAAGCAGGGGAUCGCAAGACCUUGUGCUACUAGAGCGGCCGAUGGCAGAUUAGGUAGUUGGUGGGAUAAAAGCUUACCAAGCCGACGAUCUGUAGCUGGAAUGAGAGGACGAUCAGCCACACUGGGACUGAGACACGGCCCAGACUCCUACGGGAGACAGCAGUGGGGAAUGUUGGACAAUGGGCGCAAGCCUGAUCCAGCAAUGCCGCGUGCAGGAUGAAGGCCUUCGGGUUGUAAACUGCUUUUGUACGGAACGAAAAGCCCUGGGUUAAUACCCUGGGGUCAUGACGGUACCGUAAGAAUAAGCACCGGCUAACUACGUGCCAGCCGCCGCCGUAA